rnacentral:rRNA from 1 species
CCGGAUUGUAGUCUGCAACUCGACUACAUGAAGCUGGAAUCGCUAGUAAUCGCGGAUCAGAAUGCCGCGGUGGAUACGUUCCCGGGUCUUGUACACACCGCCCGUCACACCAUGGGAGUCAGUAACGCCCGAAGCCGGUGACCCAACCGAUAAGGAGGGAGCCGUCGAAGGUGGGACCGAUAACUGGGGUGAAGUCGUAACAAGGUACC